GAUGGCUCAGUGGUAGAGUGCUUGCCUUGCAUGCAAGAGGCCCUGGGUUCAAUUCCUCAGCAUCA
rnacentral:tRNA from 1 species